UACGGGGGGGGCAAGCGUUGUUCGGAAUUACUGGGCGUAAAGGGCUCGUAGGCGGCCAACUAAGUCGGACGUGAAAUCCCCAGGCUCAACCUGGGAACUGCAUCCGAUACUGGAUGGCUUGAAUUCGGGAGAGGGAUGCAGAAUUCCAGGUGUAGCGGUGAAAUGCGUAGAUAUCCGGAAGAACACCAAAGGCGAAGGCAGUGUCCUGGCUGGUACCUGACGCUCAGGUGCGAAAGCUAGGGGAGCGAACGGG
rnacentral:rRNA from 1 species